AGUGAACGCUGGCGGCGUGCUUAACACAUGCAAGUCGAACGAGAACGGAAUAUAGCUUGCUAUAUUUGUCAGCUAAGUGGCGCACGGGUGAGUAAUGUAUAGAUAACCUGCCCUUAAGAAAGGAAUAACAGUUGGAAACGACUGCUAAUGCCCUAUAUGCCUUUAAUACAUAAGUAUGCAAGGGAAACGCUUUAGUGCUUAAGGAUGGGUCUGUAGGGUAUCAGCUUGUUGGUGAGGUAAUGGCUCACCAAGGCUAUGACGCCUAACUGGUUUGAGAGGGUGAGCAGUCACACUGGAACUGAGACACGGUCCAGACUCCUACGGGAGGCAGCAGUGGGGAAUAUUGCACAAUGGACGAAAGUCUGAUGCAGCAACGCCGCGUGGAGGAUGACACAUUUCGGUGCGUAAACUCCUUUUAUAUAGGAAGAUAAUGACGGUACUAUAUGAAUAAGCACCGGCUAACUCCGUGCCAGCCGCCGCGGUAA
rnacentral:rRNA from 1 species